rfam:Rhizoctonia solani AG-1 IA unplaced genomic scaffold scaffold33, whole genome shotgun sequence.
GCUUCCUUGGCUCAGUUGGUAGAGCGUUGGUCUCAUAUCUCGAGUAUGAGUAAUCAAAUAUCUUGGUUACGCAAUCCAAAGGUCGUGAGUUCGAGCCUCACAGGGAGCA